GUGAAGACGGAUGGAGCGCGAUGGAGAGCCGGGUGAGCGAUGAGCUCAUUAGGGAGGUCUCUCAUCUUGACCCUUUCCAGGUCAGGUGGGGACAGCCCGGAGUUUUGAGAGGUGGAUGAACACUGGUCUGGCUGUGACAGGUGCUCCAUCUGGGGCUGCUGGGGAAGGGGCAAGGCUGCCCUCCCCAAGGGACCAUCUCAUCGUGACCCCCCCACGUGCUAACUUCUCUGAGCCCAGUUUCCUGAUGAGGCAUGGGGGCCACAGGACACAGGCCUGGAAGCAGUGAGAAGCAGUUUCAAGAGGGAGUGCAUCCAGGUGCAGAGAUCUGGGACCGAGAUCUCUUUCUUUGCCUCCCCCACUUCACCUGGGUACCCCUGUGAUGGUUACUAUUGAGUGUCAACUUGACUGGAUUGAAGGAUGCAAAGUAUUGUUCCUGGGUGUGUCUGUGAGGGUGUUGCCAAAGGAGAUUAACCUUUGAGUCAGUGGACUGGGAAAGGCAGACCCACCCCCAGUCUGGGUGGGCACAAUCUAAUCAGCUGCCAGAGUGGCCAGAAUAAAAGCAGGUAGAAGAACGUGGAAAUUCUAGACUGGUUUAGUCUUCCAGCCUACAUCUUUCUCCCGUACUGGAUGCUUCCUGCCCGCGAACAUCAGACUCCAAGUUCUUCAGCUUUGGGACUCUUGGACCUUCGACCACAGACUGAAGGCUGCACUGUUGGCUUCCCUACUUUUGGGGUUUUGGGAUUCGGACUGGCUUUCUUGCACCUCAGCUUGCAGAUGGCCUAUUGUAGGACCUCACCUUGUGAUCAUGUGAGUCAAUACUCCGUAAUAAACUCCCCUUCAUCUAUACAUCUAUCCUGUUAGCACUGUCCCUUUAGAGAAC
rnacentral:lncRNA from 1 species